UCGGAAACCGGAGCUAAUACCGGAUAAUAUUUUGAACCGCAUGGUUCAAAAGUGAAAGACGGUCUUGCUGUCACUUAUAGAUGGAUCCGCGCUGCAUUAGCUAGUUGGUAAGGUAACGGCUUACCAAGGCAACGAUGCAUAGCCGACCUGAGAGGGUGAUCGGCCACACUGGAACUGAGACACGGUCCAG
rnacentral:rRNA from 1 species